UGUGUGUGUGUGUGUGUGUGUGUGUGUGUGUGUGUGUGUGUGUGUGUGUGUGUGUGUGUGUGUGUGUGUGUGUGUGACGCACUGUGACAAAUGUAACUGACAGGAGCUCCAUUCACACCCAGCUUCAAGGAAUGCAUGCUAGUUCUUCACGGCAUCGUGAGAAUUCUAGCUUAACUAGACCAGAGGGAUAAGUCGGCUUAGCUCUGGAGGUAGACCAGUUGUCUUGGAACCGAAAGGUUGCUAGUUCGAUCCCCGGCUACUCCUAGCUGAGUGUUGAUGUGUCCCUGAGCAAGACACUCAACCCUAACUGCUCCUGACGAGCUGGCUGUCGCCUUGCAUGGUUGACUCUGCCGUCGGUGUGUCAAUGUGUGUAUUAACCGAUCUAAGUCGCUUUGGAUAAAAGCGUUUGCUAAAUGCCCUAAUUGUAAGUGCACAAACAAGGUAUACUUAAACUGAUUGACAACCGGAUGUAAGAUCGAAGCGAACCUAUCACAAGUAGACGUACGCUCAGGACUCUAUACUCUAUAGUGGGGGUGUGGUCUGAUCCCCCCCACAAACUCACACUGAUUUGAGGUGCCUGGCUAGUGGGUCUGGGUUCACCCGCUUGCCUACUCAGGCAGGAGGGGAUCCAUUAAAUCGGAGUGAAGAAAUAAAAGGAAACUAGUAGGUUGAAAUUGCAAUGGAUUUCAUGGAGCCUACUAUUCUGAUGCUUAAUGCACACCUUGAUAACCCUUUACAACAUAAUUAGGUGUAAACUACGGAUUUUUGUCGUCCAUCACUUCAAAGGUCUGUUUUGUCUGGUGUGUUCUAAGUGCACCCUACUUAGCUAUGGUGCAUUCUCAACCAUGUAGACAGUGGAGGUUAUGUACAGACUAUAUCAAAUGAGGGUCACCACUAAAGUCGCCACCAAAGCUGCUGAGAAACGACCAGAAGCGGCCGCAGACGUGGAUACGGAUUUGUUUGUCUGGAUGUUAAACUGAGUAUUGUGUUGUCAUUCAAUAUGCUCUUCUUAUCAAGAACAUGUUUUAAUUUUUAACUGAAAAAGUUAUCUGUGGGACACUUUAAAAGGAUGUUGGAUAAAUGAAAUUAUUAGAUUCAUGUUCUACAUUCUGACCUCUCAUCUCAUCAGAGGUAAUCGUCUU
ensembl:lncRNA